UAAUUUAUUCUUCUCUCUUCGCCUCCCCCCUCUGGUCGAGAACUCCAAAAUCGCCGGUUAAAAUUUCUUUUUUCCGACGAUGUCUUUCAGUUUCGUCACUCUCCUUGGUAUCUUUAUUUGGAUCUCUUAGCUCAAUAGAGAAUUUACCUAGAUUAUUCUGGGCAUCAUCGUAAAAUUUUAGAUUCUAAAAAAAUCGAGCUUGUUGUGAAUUGUGAUGUUUUGUUUAUAUAUAGGUAGUGGAAUCUAAUUUAGAUGCAUCAAAGUCGUUGUUUUAGGUAGAACCACCAAGUAUGAUUUCUUUUUGUCUGUUCUUCUUGGUUUAUUUAUACCUUCAUAUAGCUUAAAAUAAAACCUUUUAAAACAAAGUUAAAGAACUUGUUGUUGGGUAGGUUUGUUUUUACUGAAUGUUCCUUUCACUAGUAUAAUGAUUCACAAUCUUUAGGAAUUGGCUAUGAUUUAUUGGUGGACGUUCUGAGAUAUGUUUCCCCUACCAGUUGGAUUCAAUCUGCUUACCAAGAUAGAUAUAACCGAUCCGUUUUAAUACAUAAGGAUGCUCGAUUGAUGACGGACAUGUGUAUAAUCGCCUACUUCAGGCAAUGCAUCAAAGGAAAAGAAGGAAACACGAUCAGAGAACUAACCCGUGAACUCGUUUCUCAUACUCCUUAUUAAGUUCCAAUAUCGAGUUUAACAAUCAACCAUCUCCAUUUUCAGAGUUUUAAACCAAAUCAUAAUUGAUGGAGAGUAUAAGGUUGCACUUCCAGUGGGAAAAGAGUGGUAUCAAUUAGAUGCACUUUAUGAAUUCAAUUGAGAUUUAACAAAUCUUGAAAGAAGCAUUGGAGGAAAGGAGGAAAGCUAUAUGGGAAGAAAGUCUUUGUCUUUGGCUGUACAGAACGGAAACUAUUUCUCCCGCUAGUUUUGAUUGUUACUCUCUUCUUAUCGUUUUUUUUUGUUUACUUGUUUAAAUCAUCGUUGGCAUUUGUGGUUCUUUCUAAUUAAUUUGUUGAAAAAUCUAUCAGGUUGUGCUGUAUGCUCUCUUCUUCCUUUUGGUUAAACAUUUCCUUCUUGUUCCCUGUUUAUAAGUUUCUCUUUUUAACGUUACAGCUCAAUUAGUCCCCUAACAAAGGUGCAAACAAUAUUAUCCAAUGUUAUGGAGCAGGUGUUGUUAUUAGUUCUUGUUUAUUAUAUAUGCAGAUUGAAUCACCCUUUCCGCUUUGAGAUAUAAGAUAGGAAUCACAUUUGUUCAGAGAGAAGUAGUGGAUGAAAUCAUU